rnacentral:snRNA from 1 species
GUGCUCACUUGGGCAGCACAUAUACUAAAGUUGGAACUAUACAGAGAAGGUCAGCAUGGCCCCUGCACAAGGCUGACAUGCAAAUUCAUGAAGAGUUCCAUAUUAAA